GUGGCAGUUCCAACCUCCACCCACAAUCCAUCGCCGUCCAAACUCUCUCUAUAAAGAAGAAAAUAAAAGUCUUUUUUCUUUUUUCUCUUUUCAUCUUCUCCUUCCUGUUGCUGAAUCCGAAUAACAUCACCCAGAUUUCUCAGGCAGACAAACAUCAUUGAGCAAAAACGAUGCCGUAUUGCGAGGUCGCGAAAGAACAAGUCGUCGACGCAGAGACGACGCUGAAGAACAAUGCGGGGGUCAAGAUAUUCUACAGAACGUACGGUCACGGUCCUACCAAAGCUCUUCUCAUCAUAGGUUUAGCUGGAACACAUGAAUCGUGGGGUCCUCAGAUCAAGGGAUUAACGGGGACGGAUAAACCCAACGACGAAGAUGGAGACGUUUCCGAUGAUUGUGGAAUCGGCCAAGGCAUGGAGGUUUGCGCUUUCGACAAUCGUGGUAUGGGUCGAAGCUCCGUGCCCUCCCACAAAUCUGACUACACAACAACUAUAAUGGCAAAGGAUUCAAUUAGUUUGUUGGAUCAUUUGGGAUGGGAGAGAGCUCACAUUAUUGGGCACUCGAUGGGAGCAAUGAUAGCUUGUAAGUUAGCUGCAAUGGUGCCGGAACGGGUUCUUUCUCUGGCUUUGCUUAACGUUACUGGUGGAGGUUUCGAGUGUUUCCCCAAGCUUGACAGGCUAACACUUUCCAUUGCGAUACGUUUCUGGAUGGCAAAGACCCCUAAACAAAGAGCUAAAGUUGAUUUGGACACACAUUAUUCACAGGAUUUUCUAGCAGAACGAAUAGGAACUAACACAAGGAGGGAUGUCUUAUAUGAGCAAUACGUAAAAGGAAUAUCAGAAACUGGAAUGCAGUCCAAGAACGGGCUUGACGGCCAGCUUAAUGCUUGCUGGAUGCAUAAAAUCACAAAACCAGAGAUCGAACGGAUCCGCUCUGCUGGAUUUCUUGUCUCAGUCAUUCACGGAAGACAUGAUGUCAUUGCUCAGAUACGUCACGCGAGAAGAUUGGCACAGAGGCUGUAUCCUGUUGCUAGAAUGGUGGAUCUUCAUGGUGGUCAUCUUGUUAGCCACGAGAGAACAGAGGAGGUUAAUAAAUCUCUUAUGGAGUUAAUAAAGGCGUCAGAAAUGAAGAAAGCACCAACCGAUUGGACUAACCUGACACCUGAAACUCCCGGUAUAAGAGUUGCACAAGUUAUUUCACGAGGAGAAUAGCAUUGAUUAGAACCUCAUCAGAAGGCAAGAAUGCGGUCUCUCCUCCAUCUUUCAUCAUGGAAAAGUUUCAUCGAUGUCUACUUUUCCUCUUAGGGCUUCUGGUUUUGGCAUUCGAGCAUGCAAGAAGAGCUUUCAGGGUCGUCAAACCCGUCAAAGUUGGGCCUUGUCUCACAUAACAAACAAGCCUAUCAAACAUUUCAAUUUGUUAGAGCGAGUUUUCGUACAGACAAUUAUGCUGUUCUCCAAUGAUCAAGCUGAUGAAAACAUAAAAGAUAAUUUUACUGCAAAAAAGAAGCUAGAGAAGGAGAGACCACUGCUUGUACAUGGAAGAGAUGAUAAUAAUACAAAACUGUUGAUAUAUACAUGUGUAGAGGAAUCAUUUCACAAGGAACAUUUGUUGUAAUUUAGUACCUUGAUCGAAAUGUAAUAUGUAAAAUACAAGACAUAAUAAAUCUCAAUUGAAACUUUACAUGUAUUUUUUACAAGUUCUA